rnacentral:rRNA from 1 species
UACGUAGGGAGCGAGCGUUGUCCGGAAUUACUGGGUGUAAAGGGAGCGUAGGCGGGGGUACAAGUUGGGUGUUAAAUCUACCGGCUCAACUGGUAGUCGCACUCAAAACUGUAUCUCUUGAGUGAAGUAGAGGCAGGCGGAAUUCCUAGUGUAGCGGUGAAAUGCGUAGAUAUUAGGAGGAACACCAGUGGCGAAGGCGGCCUGCUGGGCUUUUACUGACGCUGAGGCUCGAAAGUGUGGGGAGCAAACAG